UGGUGAUUUUAUUGCGCUGAUGAAGGAGAAAGCAAUCAUCACGUGGUCUCUCGAUUUCAAUCCCUAGGUAAUGACUGACGGAGCCAAGAUCCUUCAAUUCGAAGUGCUUGUUUAAUCUUUUCCAGGUGUCGGUAAUGACCGAAUUAGCUGGAUGACAAAUCAGCAUGUCGUCCACAUAUAGGAGAACAUACAAGAGCUUCUCGUCAAUCCUUUGAGAAUACAGGCAGGGGUCGGCGUCACUGCGUUUGGUGACUCGCUGCAUCAGCUCAACACCUGGGAUCUCGUGCCGUUACCAUCAGGGAAGCAUCCAUUCGGCUGUCCCGAAAGUCCUCCACGCUGACUUCUUAGUCACACAGUGAAAUCCACAGCUGUGCUGGGCCCAUAACCUGUUGUAAUUGGAGACUGACAGACUAGCGACUGUUCAGGAUGAACUGGAUGGGUGGCCCAACCUGGACAAAGCCACUCCCCCAAGGACGAUGACAUCACACUUGAACCUCACAAGUCAACAUUCUCGAACGUGACCCAUUGACGACCGCCAGCAAAGUUCGAAGCAGCACUCACCCUGCCCGGAAUUUUCCCGAAAGCGGACAGUGACCUACGGCGAAUGACAUCACCACCCGGACUUGACCUUCUGGAAUAUUCCCGAAUCUGACUCACUGACAAACGCCAGUGGCGUGCCCGUACCAAUUAUGACGUCAUGUAGCAAACCUAUUUAAGAAAUGUGUAAUCAGCUACGCAUCUUUAGUCCUGACGAAGACAGUGCCACUGUCGAAACGUCGACAACCCUUUUAGCAUUCCAAGUAUCUUAAAUGUAAAUAAAUUAUCCCUUUUUCUUACUUCCCGUA